rnacentral:rRNA from 1 species
UACGGGGGGAGCAAGCGUUGUUCGGAUUUACUGGGCGUAAAGGGCGCGUAGGCGGCCACCGCAAGUCAAUUGUGAAAUCUCCGGGCUUAACCUCGGAAUGGCAUUCAAUACUGCUUCGCUCGAGUACUGGAGAGGAGGCUGGAAUUUACGGUGUAGCAGUGAAAUGCGUAGAUAUCGUAAGGAAGGCCGGUGGCGAAAGCGAGCCUCUGGACAGUUACUGACGCUGAUGCACGAAGGCCAGGGGAGCAAACGGG